rnacentral:lncRNA from 1 species
AGAAAUUGGUAGCCGAUAUGUGCAGCAUUAGCGGAGGAUUGGGACAACGUGACUUCAAGGUAAAACGGAAAAUAGAAACAAUCGGGAACAUACAACAGAUGAGGAAAAAGGAGGAUGAUGAAGCCAAAGCUAAGAAAGAAAAAUUAGAAAUCGAAAAAAUUAUGAAGUCAACUCAAAUACAAGUAGUUGUAGCUACUCUAAUAAUGACAGUCACGUUCGCAGCUGGUUUCACAUUACCAGGAGGUUUAUACAGCGAUGACAGUCCUAAUAAAGGGAUGGUGAUUCUAUUAAAGAGAGCAACGUUCCGUGCAUUUGUUAUUUCCGAUGUCCUGGCAUUUUCAUGUUCAGCUGGUGCUAUAUUCAUCUAUUUCUUCCUGGCAGAUAUGGAGGUAGACAACGAUGAACCUAAACGGGACUGGUUCAGAAUGUUUAAGAGGAGCUAUAAUAUAGCAUGGACUUCGCAACUUUUGGCAAUGGGUACAGUUGUAGUUGCAUUUGUAACUGGUAUGUAUGCUACUUUAGAAAAUUCACUUGCUCUUGCUGUUAGUGUUUGUGUCAUUGGUUGUGUCUCUUUGCUUAUGUACUUUUCGUAUAUCAUUUGGGUAUAAUCAGGAGAGAUGUGCUUACUAGUAGUAUUCGAACAACGUACAUAACCUUAAUUUGAGGUGAUCAGGUGUGCUUAUUAUUCGAGCAACUCUCUGUUGUCUAAUAUAGCUAGGAGAUCAAACUUAAUACUAUUUUUUUCUUCAUGUAUAGAGACAUGUGAUUGUGAAUGAUACUAUUUGUUCUAGCAUGAUUUUCUUGAAUUAUUUUUCCCAUUCCUCUUGUUUUUGUUUCGAAAUAAAGUAAAUUGAUUUGUGAUUUA